AAGAAACUACGAAAGGAAUUGACGGGGCCCGCACAAGCGGUGGAGCAUGUGGUUUAAUUCGAAGCAACGCGAAGAACCUUACCAGGUCUUGACAUCCCGAUGCUUAUUUCUAGAGAUAGAAAGUUACUUCGGUUACAUCGGUGACAGGUGGUGCAUGGUUGUCGUCAGCUCGUGUCGUGAGAUGUUGGGUUAAGUCCCGCAACGAGCGCAACCCUUGUCACUAGUUGCCAUCAUUUGGUUGGGCACUCUAGUGAGACUGCCGGUGACAAACCGGAGGAAGGUGGGGAUGACGUCAAGUCCUCAUGGCCCUUAUGGGUAGGGCUUCACACGUCAUACAAUGGUCGGUACAGAGGGUUGCCAACCCGCGAGGGGGAGCUAAUCCCACAAAGCCGAUCGUAGUCCGGAUCGCAGUCUGCAACUCGACUGCGUGAAGUCGGAGUCGCUAGUAAUCGCGGGUCAGCAUACUGCGGUGAAUACGUUCCCGGGCCUU
rnacentral:rRNA from 1 species